rnacentral:rRNA from 1 species
GUCCUAGCUGUAAACGAUGGGUACUAGGCAGCGGGGCCCGAUGCCCUCGCUGUCGAAGCGAAUGUGCUAAGUACCCCGCCUGGGGAGUACGGCCGCAAGGCUGAAACUCAAAGGAAUUGACGGGGGCUCACACAAGCGGUGGAGCAUGUGGUUCAAUUCGAAGCAACGCGCAGAACCUUACCAGGGUUUGAAAUGCACGGAUUAGUCUCCUGAAAGGGAGGUGACGCCUUUUGGUGGAACGUGCACAGGUGUUGCAUGGCUGUCGU